UGGGUGGGGUGGGGGGGGGGGGCAGGACCACUCAUCCGAGAGAGACAGAGAGAGAGAGACAGAGAGAGAGAGACAGAGACAGAGAGAGAGAGGGCGAGUACAGGACAGAGGCGAAGAGCCCUUGGAUGCAUCGAAUGUCUGACAGCUUGUCCAGGUGAACAUGGUCAUUAUUUUCUUCCUUCAACUUCGUGCGCCCAAGUUUUCUUUUUCCUGGUGAAUUACAACUCCAUGAACUGCCACCCCAGUAAAGUUUAUGUCCAUAACACCAAAACAUUGAGCAAAGUUUCAUGCAAAUCCAGAUAGGCGACAGCUAACCAAACAAAAAUUAUAAGAAAAGAUAAUACUGUGAUGUUCGCCUGUCAUGAUAUACUGUUAAAUAUACUGACCAUAGGAAAUAAAUAAGGCAAAGAAAUGAAGAUCAAGGAAAAUAAAGUUUCAAAGAAUAUUUUCUUCAUGAUCUUCUAUUCUUUUCAUUUUUCCCUUCUGCAUUGAACCUGCGUUUUUUUCUUCUGUCUGUGAGAAUGAUUCUAUGCCUGCCUGAACUAGUGCGCGAUUGAAAUCUGCAUGGGACCGUUAUACCUUGAGAAUCACAUCCCUCCAUCUAGUCAUGUGAUUAUCGUUGUUUGACAGUGUUUCAUGAAUAAUCUGAGGGUGUUCUUUAAUAAUGACAAGGUUGAACCAGGAUGUGGGUUGCGAUGUCUCUCUGCUCUAGGCAGGGGGCACCAUCAUACGUGCGGUCUAGACUGUCCAGAAGCGUCUCUGAAUGCAGACAAACCCAGCCUUCAAGCAUCUCAGCCACCGAGUUUUUCAGUCAGAGGACAGGAGCCUCCAGAUUACUGGGGCCUUCAAGAAUCCUUUUCGGGCCCACGUAUGACAGAACCCCUUGAAUUGAUUCUGAAGAGGUUCUGUCAGGCCUGGAUCCUACUGCUUGGCGAAAAAUGGAGACAACAUAUUAUCUAGAAGCCAAUUUUUUUAUUUUUUGGGUGGAAAUAAUACCCUAUGGCCCAGAUAUUAUCUGCUCCAGAACAGGCGGAUGACUGCAGGGCUUGUCAUUCUCUGGGAGUAUUAAUAGGAGAGAUUUGGCAAUCACCCAGGGAAAUUUUCCUGGACUAUCAUACUCUGGUAGUACCAGGGAGGGGUCAGGUUUUUCGAGCUCAGCCAAGAGCUCUUGGUUAGCCCCCAUCUGGUUUUAAAACUUUCACUAUAGGAGAAAUGGCCUCCCAAAACUCGCUGGUUCCCAAAAACUUGUGACAGUUAAGCUCCCUAGUGACAGACAUUUCAUGUUGUGAGGGGCAGCUCUGACAGCUUCAACUGGUCAGAGAGUAGCAAAUUUGCGCAGAGUCACUGUGGUCAACAGGAAGAGAGAAAAUUCACCAGGCCUUUCCACAAAAGGAGGUGAAGCAGGGGAGAUGGCAGAGUACUGAGAUGGAAGUGUUCACUGGACGCAGCUCCCUAGAAAAGACAUCAUCUGAUGCUGGGUCCUGAACCAUCAUGUAGGGGACACUCUGAUAGCUUCAACUUGUCGGAGGGUACCACAUUCCUGCAAAGUCACUGUGGCUGACGGGAAGAGAGAAAAAUUCACCGGGCCUUUCUACCAAAGGAAAUUAAUUAGGAGAGAUGGGCAGAGCACUGAGAUGGACGUGUUCAUUGUGGAGGUAGCAGCCGUAGGGGCCCACAAUGGGGCGGGGUCCAUAUAAAGAAGAAGAAGAAGGCAGCCGAUGCUGAGAUGUGGAACAGUUCAAUUUAUGGUGCAACAAUAAAGGCGUUUUGCUGGUAAGUUGUCUCUUUUAGGGGGUCUCCUGAAGGCCCGCCCCACGCAGGAUUCUCUGCUUAUUGAGCUACGGCUGUGGGAACAUCAAAGAAGUGGGAUGAGCCCACAAUUAUGAGCCAAUGGGGGGAUUAGGAAGGUGGGGAAGGUGGCUGAGUGCGGAAAAGCUCGCCACAUUGGUGGAGGAACAGAACAGCACGAGGCAAAGUCUGGAGAGGCCAAAGAUGGCCCAUGCACGCGAACCUGAGAUUUUUUUUUUCCCUCUGCAGGCAGAGAUCAUGGCUCAUAAUGAGCAAUAAAUAGAUCUCCAUGUGGGACACGACUUGAGAUGGUGGGGCUACCCAGUAAGUCACAUGCUGGGGGGGGGGGACCGAGCGGACCAUCCCUGCUGCAUGAGUUCCAGAAGGUGGAGCCCAGCCAAAAACCAUGUGUGGACAAAGAAAAUAAUAGACCCUGAAUCUGUCAUGAUCGGGCUUGGACCCAUGCUAAAGGUGAGAUGCCUCACAAAAGAAAUCCAUGGAGGCUAGGAAGCAUUAAGACAGUGGAUACAUCUUGGAAGCAUGAAGUCUACAGACUUACAGCCAAUUUGUCUCAUCUAAAAACCAAUGAGGUGGAAGAAUUGAAGGAAAGAUCCAGGGGUAUGCCACAAAUAUCUAUGCACGGUCUAAAUGCAAUAUGGAGAUGCUAUGAUUGUGGAUAGUUUCUGGCAUAAAAGGAAGAAACAAUUCAUAAGUAGCAUCACUAAAACCGACCAUUGAGGAUUUUCAUGUGAUCAACAAAAACUCUGUUGGGUACACAUCAAGAAAAUAUUGAUAGGGUAAUCAUUUUUCCAGAAAUUUUGAAAUAUUUUGGAGCGACGACUCAAAUAUCAAGGCGAUUACGCAGUCCAAUGGGAUCCCAAUCAGGUACUAAAUGCUAUAUCGCAUACUGAGAAAAUUGAGCAGUUCAAUCAACUAGCUCAUCAGUUGCCUGCACUGAGGUUACGGACAAAAUGAUAUACUGAGGAGGCUCGUUGGAAAAUAAGAAAAAUACAGCUUUUCACCAAGUCGUUGAAACAAGUGUAAGUGGACAAAAUAGACCAUGGAAGCUCAUUCCCCUUAGUCUAUGAUGGUGGCUGAGGAAAAUGGCUUAAAACCUCUCGCUAGCAAUCAGAUAAGUGAAUAAAAUUACAAUACUUGCUCUAGCAUGAUGGUGAAGUAACGGGGAACAUGGGGUGAAGAGAGGGAGACGAUGGGAACCAAAAUGAAGCACAAGGGGUGAUGGUGGCAAUGGUCAUUAAUUUAUCCUCCUAAUCCAAUAAUGAAUGCCUUCUCAUGUUUGCAUGCAUAACCAUUCCAAACUAAAGUGUCUGUGGAUGCUUUGGUUACCAAAAUGACCAUAGUUUGCUUAUUUUUCUGCAGCCAUAUUGAAUGAGAUCAUUCCAUCGUACUUUGAGAUAAUUAAUUAGAAAGAGAUUAAGUGAGCAUGCCAAACUAUCUAUGAUGCAUGAAUUUCUGAAAAGUGAAUAGACAAUAAAUUAAAUAUAUGUGCACAACCAUGACCUAUUGAGAAUUUAAACAAAACUAUAUCAAUUUAUGAAAUAUAUUUUCAUUCAAAGUUUUCAUACCUUGUGCAGUAAAAUCAUCGCAUCGCUGUAUAAUUUUUUAGUGUUCAUCUAGAACUUUAUGGGCCUCGGCCACAAUAAAGAACGAGCCCAAAGUAAUAUUGCCGAAUAUUUUUUAAUAUAUAUAUAUAUAUAUAUAUAUAUAUUAUACGAAAUGAUUACAUGGCAAGCAUAUGCAUGUCUCACAGGUUGUCUUUUUCGUUUUUUUUUUCUAGUUCAGCUACUGGUAUAUUCUUUUGCCAUCUUUGAAGUAGUGAUUUGUGUGGCACAAGAUAAUCACAAAUUAGAUAAAGUCAACACAAAGAGUGUGAAUGAUGGCUAAUCAUGGCUAUAAACAUACUAAUAGUAUAGAACUCAACUCUGAUGUUUUUUUUCCUUUAAAGGUAAUAACAUUUAAGGAUAUUUUGAAAUAUUCAUCAAAAAUUUAAAGCUCGUAUGAGAUACUCACUUCCUAGAUUAUGGCAUCAUUUUAUAAAUCAUCAACACAACUCGUUAGUAACUCCUUUGUAGUGUUCUUUGUUCUUUGAGUUUUCCUCGGUGCAAUUUCUUCCUCAAAUUUACAGAUUUUUUGGUCAUC
rnacentral:lncRNA from 1 species